rnacentral:rRNA from 1 species
ACGCUCGACACCUGAGGCAGCAGUGGGGAAUAUUGCACAAUGGAGGAAACUCUGAUGCAGCGAUGCCGCGUGAGGGAAGAAGGUUUUCGGAUUGUAAACCUCUGUCUUUGGGGACGAUAAUGACGGUACCCAAGGAGGAAGCUCCGGCUAACUACGUGCCAGCAGCCGCGGUAAUCUGAGCGGGCUGGCAAGGC